rnacentral:rRNA from 1 species
AGCGAACGCUGGCGGCAGGCAUAACACAUGCAAGUCGAGCGCCCCGCAAGGGGAGCGGCAGACGGGUGAGUAACACGUGGGAACGUACCCUUCAGUUCGGAACAACCCAGGGAAACUUGGGCUAAUACCGGAUACGUCCGUAAGGAGAAAGAUUUAUCGCUGAAGGAUCGGCCCGCGUCUGAUUAGCUAGUUGGUGAGGUAAUGGCUCACCAAGGCUACGAUCAGUAGCUGGUCUGAGAGGAUGAUCAGCCACAUUGGGACUGAGACACGGCCCAAACUCCUACGGGGGGCAGCAGCGGGGAAUAUUGGACAAUGGGGGCAACCCUGAUCCAGCCAUGCCGCGUGAGUGAUGAAGGCCCUAGGGUUGUAAAGCUCUUUUAGCAGGGAAGAUAAUGACGGUACCUGCAGAAAAAGCCCCGACUAACUUCGUGCCAGCCGCCGCCGUAAAAC